UACGUAGGGUGCAAGCGUUGUCCGGAAUUAUUGGGCGUAAAGAGCUCGUAGGCGGUCUGUCGCGUCGGAUGUGAAACCUCGGGGCUCAACCCCGAGCCUGCAUUCGAUACGGGCAGACUAGAGUUCGGUAGGGGAGACUGGAAUUCCUGGUGUAGCGGUGGAAUGCGCAGAUAUCAGGAGGAACACCGGUGGCGAAGGCGGGAUCCUGGGCCAGUACUGACGCUGAGGAGCGAAAGCGUGGGUAGCGAACAGG
rnacentral:rRNA from 1 species